rnacentral:rRNA from 1 species
GUUAAAAAGCUCGUAGUUGAAUUUCUGGUCAUUUUUAGUUUCGGCUUCGGCCAGGCUAAAGUUGGCCAUCCGUCUGCAAGCUAUUCUCGGCCUUCAUUGGUUCGGAUUAGCGAGCUGACAUUUUACUUUGAAAAAAUUAGAGUGUUUCAGGCAGGCUUUUGCCCGAAUACAUUAGCAUGGAAUAAUGGAAUUGGACUCUGGUCCAUUUGGUUGGUUAUUGGAUCUGAGUAAUGGUUAAUAGGGACAGUUGGGGGCAUUAGUAUUUAAUUGUCAGAGGUGAAAUUCUUGGAUUUAUUAAAGACUAACUUAUGCGAAAGCAUUUGCCAAGGAUGUUUUCAUUAAUCAAGAACGAAAGUUAGGGGAUCAAAGACGAUCAGAUACCGUCCUAGUCUUAACUAUAAACUAUACCGACUCGGAAUU